rnacentral:rRNA from 1 species
UACGAAGGGUGCAAGCGUUACUCGGAAUUACUGGGCGUAAAGCGUGCGUAGGUGGUGAGUUAAGUCUGUCGUGAAAGCCCCGGGCUCAACCUGGGAAUGGCGAUGGAUACUGGCUCGCUAGAGUGCGGUAGAGGAGAGUGGAAUUCCCGGUGUAGCAGUGAAAUGCGUAGAGAUCGGGAGGAACACCUAUGGCGAAGGCAGCUCGCUGGGACGUUACUGACGCUGAGACGCGAAAGCGUGGGGAGCAAACAGG